rnacentral:rRNA from 1 species
CUUGGCACUAAGAGCCGAUGAAAGACGUGAUAAGCUGCGAAAAGCUGCGGGGAGGAGCAAAUAUCCACUGAUCCGCAGAUGUCUGAAUGGGGAAACCCGCAUGAGCAACCCUCAUGCAUCCAUACGCCAAUCCAUAACGUAUGGAAGGGAACCGCCUGAACUGAAACAUCUAAGUAGGGCGAGGAAGAGAAAGAAAAUUUAUCGAUUUCCAAAGUAGCGGCGAGCGAAAUGGAAAGAGGCCAAACCGGAGUGCGUGCACUCCGGGGUUCGGACCGCAUUUAAGAUCUGAUGAUCCUAGCAGAAAGGUUUUGGGAAAGCCUGCCGUAGAGGGUGAAAGCCCCGUAAGCGAAAGGAAAGCCAGCUGAGCGGUAUCCAGAGUACAUCGAGACACGAGAAACCUUGAUGGAAUGAGCGGGGACCACCCCGUAAGCCUAAAUACUCCUUAGUGACCGAUAGCGCAUAGUACUGUGAAGGAAAGGUGAAAAGGACCCCGGGAGGGGAGUGAAAGAGAACCUGAAACCCUGUGUUUACAAGCUGUGGGACAUCUUUACAUGAUGAACCGCGUACUUUUUGUAGAACGGUCCGGCGAGUUGCGGAUGCCGGCAAGGUUAAGCACUUAAGGUGUGGAGCCGAAGGGAAACCAAGUCUGAAGAGGGCGCAUAUAGUCAGUAUCCGCAGACCCGAAACCGGGUGAUCUACCCAUGUCCAGGUUGAAGUUGCCGUAAAAGGCAAUGGAGGACCGAACGCACAUCCGUUGAAAAGGGUGGCGAUGAGGUGUGGGUAGGGGAGAAAUUCCAAUCGAACCCGGAGAUAGCUGGUUCUCCUCGAAAUAGCUUUAGGGCUAGCCUCGUUUUAGUCUUAUGGAGGUAGAGCACUGAAUUUCCGCGGGGGCGUCAAAGCUUACCAAAGAAUAUCAAACUCCGAAUGCCAUGUAGAUGAUGAACGGGAGUCAGACUGCACGAGAUAAGUUGGGCAGUCAAAAGGGAAAGAGCCCAGACCGCCAGCCAAGGUCCCAAAGUGUGUGUUAAGUGGAAAAGGAUGUGGGAUCUCCAAGACAACUAGGAUGUUGGCUCAGAAGCAGCCACACAUUCAAAGAGUGCGUAACAGCUCACUAGUCGAGAGGUCCUGCGCCGAAAAUGUCCGGGGCUGAAACACAACACCGAAGCUGCGGAAUUGCGAAUGCAAUUGGUAGAGGAGCAUUCUUAAUGCCGACGAAGCUGUACCGGAAGGAGCAGUGGAGGGAUAAGAAGAGAGAAUGCCGGAAUGAGUAGCGAGAGAGAGGUGGGAAUCCUCUCGGCCGAAUAUCCAAGGUUUCCAGAGUAAAGCUGAUCUGCUCUGGGUAAGUCGGGGCCUAAGGCGAGGUCAAGAGACGUAGCCGAUGGACAACAGGUUUAGAUUCCUGUACCGCAUAUAAACAGAACUGUGGGGACGCAUGGGGAGAGCAUGGGCCGGGAAUGGAAAUACCGGUGCAAGCGAAGGAGGUGUGCAGCCGGCAAAUCCGCUGCAUGAGCCGAAAGCGUGACGCGGAGCGAAAUGAAAGUAGCGAAGCAUGUGAGCCCUGUGCCGAGAAAAGCCGCUAUAGCUUUAUAUGUGCCCGUACCGUAAACCGACACAGGUGGAUGAGGAGAGAAUCCUAAGGCCGGCGGAAGAAGUAUUGUUAAGGAACUCGGCAAAAUGACCCCGUAACUUCGGGAGAAGGGGUGCCCAUGAAAGUGGGCCGCAGAGAAUAGGCUCAAGCAACUGUUUAGCAAAAACACAGGUCUAUGCGAAACCGAAAGGUGAAGUAUAUGCUGACGCCUGCCCGGUGCUGGAAGGUUAAGAGGAGAGGUUAGCGUAAGCGAAGCUUUGAAUUUAAGCCCCAGUAAACGGCGGCCGUAACUAUAACGGUCCUAAGGUAGCGAAAUUCCUUGUCGGGUAAGUUCCGACCCGCACGAAAGGCGUAAUGAUUUGAGCACUGUCUCGACAAUACAUCCGGUGAAAUUGAAGUACCAGUGAAGAUGCUGGUUACCCGCGCCAGGACGGAAAGACCCCAUGGAGCUUUACUCCAGUUUGGUACUGGGAUUCGGUACUGCACGUACAGGAUAGGUGGGAGACUUUGAAACUUGAACGCCAGUUUGAGUGGAGUCGCUGUUGGGAUACCACCCUGCAGUAUUGGAUUUCUAACCAGUCACCGUGAUCCGGUGAUGGGACAAUGCCAGGCGGGGAGUUUGACUGGGGCGGUCGCCUCCGAAAGGGUAUCGGAGGCGCUCAAAGGUUCCCUCAGAAUGGUCGGAAACCAUUUGAAGAGUGCAAAGGCAGAAGGGAGCUUGACUGCGACACCGACGGGUGGAGCAGGUAGGAAACUAGGACUUAGUGAUCCGGUGGCAUAAAGUGGGAUUGCCAUCGCUCAACGGAUAAAAGCUACCCUGGGGAUAACAGGCUUAUCACUCCCAAGAGUUCACAUCGACGGAGUGGUUUGGCACCUCGAUGUCGGCUCAUCGCAUCCUGGGGCUGUAGCAGGUCCCAAGGGUUGGGCUGUUCGCCCAUUAAAGCGGUACGCGAGCUGGGUUCAGAACGUCGUGAGACAGUUCGGUCCCUAUCCGGCGCGGGCGGAGGAUAUUUGAGAGGAGCUGUCCUUAGUACGAGAGGACCGGGAUGGACGGACCACUGGUGUAUCUGCUGUCGGCCAACGGCAUGGCAGAGUAGCCAAGUCCGGAAGGGAUAAACGCUGAAGGCAUCUAAGCGUGAAGCCCCCCUCAAGAUGAGAUAUCCCUCACAAAAGUGAGUAAGAUCCCUUGAAGACUACAAGGUAGAUAGGGCAGAGGUGGAAGUGUGGCAACACAUGGAGCUGACUGUUACUAAUCGAUCGAGGGCUUGACCAAAA